rnacentral:rRNA from 1 species
UAUACCGUAUGAUGCGCACAUGCCAAAGAUUUAUCGCCUUGGGAUAAGCCCGCGUCAGAUUAGGUAGUUGGUGGGGUAAUGGCCUACCAAGCCUGUGAUCUGUAGCUGGUCUGAGAGGACGAUCAGCCACAUUGGGACUGAGACACGGCCCAAACUCCUACGGGAGGCAGCAGUGGGGAAUCUUGCGCAAUGGACGAAAGUCUGACGCAGCCAUGCCGCGUGAAUGAUGAAGGUCUUAGGAUUGUAAAGUUCUUUAGCCUGUGACGAUGAUGACGGUAACAGGAGAAUAAGCCCCGGCUAACUUCGUGCCAGCAGCCGCGGUAAUACGAAGGGGGCUAGCGUUGUUCGGAAUUACUGGGCGUAAAGCGCGCGUAGGCGGUUUUACAAGCCAGAGGUGAAAUGCCUGAGCUCAACUUAGGAAUUGCCUUUGGAACUGUAUGGCUUUGAGGACGAGAGAGGUGAGUGGAAUUCCC